GGGAGUGUGGCUUAGUGGUAGAGUGUUUGCCUAGAACGCAUGAAGCCGUGGGUUCGAUUCCUCAGUACCA
rnacentral:tRNA from 1 species